rnacentral:rRNA from 1 species
UACGUAGGUGGCAAGCGUUGUCCGGAUUUACUGGGCGUAAAGAGCGCGCAGGCGGUCGAUUAAGUCGAGUGUGAAAGCCCCCGGCUCAACUGGGGAGGGUCACUUGAUACUGGUCGACUCGAAGGCAGGAGAGGAAGAUGGAAUUCCCGGUGUAGCGGUGAAAUGUGUAGAGAUCGGGAGGAACACCGGUGGCGAAGGCGGUCUCUGGACGGUGACUGACGCUGAGGCGCGAAAGCGUGGGGAGCAAACGGG